GGCACCCCUUACGCCUUACGGUGGCCGCUGCGCCCAGUCACAUCUAUUGCAUUUCUCUGGAAUGACCACAGCAAUAUUUCCAGCCCUUGAUGAUCUUCUAGAACUUUGCCACUUCCCUGCAUCAAGAGGUAAAAUCCAUUUCUAUUCUCUUGAAUUGAACAGCUUCAAUGAAUUGAGUGCUGAAGAAUUAACACUCUGUGACUUCAUGACUUGUUGGAAAUUGUGAGGAAUCUCAGGCCACAUGGAGGGGCCAGUGAAGAUGUUCCAGCUUAUAGCCCCAGCUAAGGUUUCAACUAAUAGCCAGACUCAACCACCAGGUAUAUGAAUGAACCUUCAGAUGAUUCUAGUCUCCAGCCUUCAAGCUUCCCCAGUCGAUGCUGAGUGGAGCAAAAAAAGGAAUUAUUCUCACUGAGCCCUGUCCAAAUUGCAAAUACCUGACAAAAAUAAAUAUUGUUGUUUUAAGCCACUAAAUUUUGGAGGAACUUGUUAUGCAAUCAUAAAAACAGAUUUUGUUAUCUGGAAGUGAGUGCCAUGUAACAGAAAUCUAAAAUGUGGUAGUGGCUGAAGCUAGACUAGACAGGAUUAGGCAGGACUAGACAGAGGGCAGAAGGUGAGAGGGCCUUCAGGUGACUGUGGAAGGCUGAUGGACCUCAAGGAGGCUAUCAGAGAGGGUUUAGAGGAGAGUGAAAAAAUAUCAUUGGAGCUGGAGGAAAGAGGAUCAUUGUUAGGUAAUGACAUGAAGUUUGGCCACCUUAUCACCUGUGGUAAUGUGAAAAGCAGAAAAUGGUGAUUGUCUGGCUUCUUCUUGCUGCUUAUAGUAAAA
rnacentral:lncRNA from 1 species